AUGGCCCUGCCAAUCCACUUCUUGUCGGUUCUGCCGCUGCCAACGUGGGCACUUAAGACAAUCAACAGGAGAUGCCGGGGUUUUAUUUGGAAAGGAGACGUUGAUAUUAGUGGUGGGCAUUGCCUGUUACUUUGGGCUAGGGUAUGCAUGCCUAAGGAAUGUGGGGGUCUGGGUGUCCUAAAUCUCAAAUGGUUCAGUCAGGCCCUACGCUAUAGGUGGCCAUGUGCGAGAUGGGAUGUCGAAGAAAGGUCGUGGCAUCAACUUUCAGAGGCUCAGGAGAAGGAGAUCUCACAUAUGUUUAAAGUGGCGACUUUAGUCUACUUAGGGGAUGGACUGAGGGCAAGANNNNNNNNNNNNNNNNNNNNNNNNNNNNNNNNNNGUAUUUGGAUCAGGGAUAUAUCAGGAGGGAUUUCGGUGCAGGCCAUGGCUCAAUAUCUCAAAAUUUGGGACAUCACUCAGCAGGUCUCCUUAUCCGUGGGUAUUCCUGGUCGCUUUGUUUGGAAGUGGACCAAGGAUCACAACUUCUCCGUUGGCAGUGCAUAUAACAUGUUCUUUGCUGCGAAUGUGCACUUUGCUUGCCACAAGCCAAUAUGGAAAUCCAAAGCACCCCCAAAAUGCAAAUUCUUUAUGUGGCUCGUUGUUCAUCGUAGGUGCUUGACCGCAGAUAAUUUGGAGAGGAGGGGUUGGCCUUCUAAUGGCAACUGUCCGUUGUGCAUCUCAACGCACGAAGACUGCACACAUCUUUUUGUGCAUUGUCGGUUCACUCAGCAGGUUUGGAGGAGGUUCAAGGACUGGACGAGAGCGUAUUUUCUUGUUCCGGAUGACAGUUAUGCCAAUACUGAGGUUUGGUGGCUGAGAACACGGAAGGAUGUCCCCAAGUCUGCCAGACGCAAUUUUGACACCAUUAUCAUUCUCAUCCACUGGAGGAUCCGGCAAGAAAAUAAUGUGAGAAGUUUUGAGCAUGUGGCAUGCAGCGUUGAAAGGGUGUUGGAUUUGAUUAGAGAAGACAUCGGGGCCUGGAGAGCAGCGGGUUGUAUCGGUGACCUUUUUUUAUUUCUUCUCUGCUUCUUCUUGUUUUGCCCUCAGCCCAGCUAG
rnacentral:rRNA from 1 species